CGGCGAGUGAGCGGCAAAGCUCAAUUUGAAGCUAGCACCUUCGGUGUUCGCGUUGUAAUUUGAAGAUAGUUUCCUUGAGUAGUCCUUUAUCUAUGUUCCUUGGAACAGGACGUCAUAGAGGGUGAGAACCCCGUAUGAUUUUGGAUACUACUCUUUGUGGGAUUCUAUCGAAGAGUCGAGUUGUUUGGGAAUGCAGCUCUAAGUGGGUGGUAAAUUCCAUCUAAAGCUAAAUAUUGGCGAGAGACCGAUAGCGAACAAGUACAGUGAUGGAAAGAUGAAAAGAACUCUGAAGAGAGAGUGAAAAAGUACGUGAAAUUGCUGAAAGGGAAGGGCUUGAGGUCAGACUUGGUGUUUAAUGAUUAUCAGUUCUUCUUGGACUGUGCACUCGUUUUUCACCGGGCCAAUAUCAGUUUUAGCGGUAGAGUACCCCUUGAAAUGUGGCUUCCUUCGGGGAGUGUUAUAGUCUUGGGGAGAUCUACUUGCUGGGACUGAGGACUGCGCUUCGGCAAGGAUAUUGGCGUAAUGACCUUAAGCCGCCCGUCUUGAACCACGGAC
rnacentral:rRNA from 1 species